GAUGAACGCUGGCGGCGUGCUUACCACAUGCAAGUCGAACGAAGCAUUUAAAACAGAUUACUUCGGUUUGAAGUCUUUUAUGACUGAGUGGCGGACGGGUGAGUAACGCGGGGGUAACCUGCCUCAUACAGGGGGAUAGCAGCUGGAAACGGCUGGUAAUACCGCAUAAGCGCACAGUACCACAUGGUACAGUGUGAAAAACUCCGGUGGUAUGAGAUGGACCCGCGUCUGAUUAGCUUGUUGGCGGGGUAACGGCCCACCAAGGCGACAAUCAGUACCCGACCUGAGAGGGUGACCGGCCACAUUGGGACUGAGACACGGCCCAAACUCCUACGGGAGGCAGCAGUGGGGAAUAUUGCACAAUGGAGGAAACUCUGAUGCACCGACGCCGCGUGAGUGAAGAAGUAGUUCGCUAUGUAAAGCUCUAUCAGCAGGGAAGAUAGUGACGGUACCUGACUAAAAAGCUCCGGCUAAAUACGUG
rnacentral:rRNA from 1 species